GGUGGGGGUAUAAGAACGAACAAAUCGAGCGAACGCCUGUUAGUUCGCAGCCCUGCUAACACCUUGCUAGCUCACACGCCCACUACCUGCCGACCACUUCAAGGCCCAGAACAAGAGGAAACCGAGUCUGCACUGCGCAGCUGUCAUGGCUGGGAUGACGGCAACCUGUGUCCUGACAGCCUUCCUGAUAACCGUUGUGGCUGGAUUACCGAGUACUCUGUUGGUAGAUGCCAUUAAGGCAGCAGAGUCCGAACCCAGCACAUCCAAAGUGAAGAAAGCACAGGAGGUGAUGCUGUUUGGAAACCAACAGAACCGCCCCUCAGCUGAUAAAUUCUAUCCCACUACUCACAAGCAAGCCUCUAGUAAGCUUGACAAAGAUGAGGAACUACCAACUGCAGUACCGCUUGCCACAUCAAGUACCAGCAAGACAUGGGAGGAUGGAAACAAGAAUGGACACCAAGAACAAUACAGCAAUGACGGAAAAGCAACGGGACAAAGCAACAUCCAUAAUACAGGACACAAGAACACUCAACACCACCAGGAACAAAACCACGGAGACUUGGCAAAUCAGCAGGAUUAUCAGAGUCGUGGAAAAACUGUGUCACAGUAUGAGAAGGGAUACCAAUACGGUGUGGGGAAGGCAGCACAUGAUAAGCAUGUUGAGAAUGCUCUCCUCAAGUCUGAAUUGUAUGGCGACCCUGGUGCAAUGAACCAGUACCGCUACUACGGGGGAUCAAAUGAACGGAAACGCAACCAACGCCUCACAUACACACCACCAACAAAGCGCAGCUACCGGCCUGAUAUCCCAUUUGUAUUGCCUACUGAUGACCUCACUAGCAGCACAGCCAGGCUGAAGCGAGAUCUUGGGCUUGAUCCUGAGGAUGUUCUCACCUUGCUGUCAUUGUGGAAAGCUGAGCAUCGAGUCACAAAUGACAAUAACCCAAGUAUGGAUCCUUCCUGCUUAAACUAUUAUGGAUUGGACAUUCCUAGAUCUUUUGGAGAGGACGAACGGAACGAAGAAGUUGAAGAUGAUGAUGGAGAUGCUUCUCAGACUGAUGGUGGAUGGUUGGAAGGACCAGUAGCAAAUCCAUCAACCACCCCACAUCAAUACUGGCUGGAGCGACAUGGGGGAUACCACUACCCUAUACUGCCUACUGCUCAGCAGUAUCCCUUGUACCCUGCACAAAAGACAGACAGCAGCCAAUGGGGAGGAUUUACGAAGGACAAGAGAUUCAUGGUCUCCAGGAAGCGACAAGCAAGUGUUGGUUACCUCACCCCAUGAUGGAGUCAUGACCCUAGCCCAGUUACUGGACAUCCCCUAUCGUGACCCAGGGGUGCCAAUGUACCGUCACGUUGUACUUUAAAAAAAGUUGCCACUUUUGAAGUAUGUCAUCUCACCACAAGAUUAUAGAUUACAUAUAUACAGUUAAAUUCUCAUCAAUAUUCAAACAUAAAAAAGGAAGCAAGCUAGGUGUUCUACAUAACCUUCAAUGUUGUUGAACAAAUAUAUUGUCAUUACCUAUCACACAAAACUUGUAAAACUACCUAGUCCCACCUCUGGGAAGAAUUUGUGUCAUGUGUUAACUUUAUUUUAUUAAAGGGAACAGAAAGGCAGUCUGUACUUUCAUUUCUACUUUGAAAAUAAAAGUUACUUGCAAUGUGCA